rnacentral:lncRNA from 1 species
GGGAGCCUUGAAACCCCCAAGAUCCCUCUGGGGAGCCUCAAAACCACCAAAAUCCCUAAAAGGGAGCCCCAAAACCACACAACCCCCCCCCCGGCGGCCGGACAGAGCAGCAAGACGAGGAGCAGGGGACGAAGAAAGUCAUCGAGAACCCGAAACCGAGGGGAACGGCCCCAAAACGCGGCCCCGCGGCAAUAAAUAGGGGGUCCCCGGCCCCACGGGGGGGGUCCUCAGGUCAAAGGGGGGGUCCCCAGUAUAAAAAAAGGGGCUCCCAGUACAAAGGGGGGAGGGGAGCAGUAAAAAGGGGGGGGCUCGGCCCCAUUGGAGUGAGCUUGACCCCAAAAAGGGGUUGUCUGACCCCAAAAUGGGGGGUCCCCAGCCCCAAAUGGGGACGUUUUAGCCCCAAAAAGGGGGGUUUGGACCCCGAAAAAAGGGCUCUAACCCCAAAUAGCGGGGUCUUGUUCCCAAAUACGGGGCUCUCAGUCCCAAAAACAGGCGUUUUGUCCCCAAAAUGGGGCGCCCCCCCCCUCCUUGCCGGGACCACGGCCUGGUGUGGCCCCGCGGCCUCCGUCACCUCCAGGGCCUCCUGGGGGGGGGCUGGGGGGGGGGCCGGGGGGGCGAGGGCCAGCGCCAGCCCCGCCCCCAGCAGGGCCCCGCCCCCUCCCCAGCCGGCCCAGCACGGGAGGCCACGCCCACCUGCGGCGGGAGGCUCCGCCCCCAGCUCAGGCUCCGCCCCCAGCUCAGGCUCCGCCCCCUCCUCCUGUGGCUCCGCCUCCUCGCGGGGCUCCUCCUCCUCCUCCUCGGGGGGCGGGGCCUGGAAAGGGCGGGGCCAGUGGGGGUGAGAAAUGGGGGCGGAGCCUCAGCCCCAUAGACGUGGGGCAGGGACCCCCCAGUGCCCCAUAGAUGUGGGGCAGAGCCCCCCAAGUGCCCCCUGACUUACGUCCUGGGCCUCGCUGCCGGAGCCGUCGGGGGGCGGGCAGGAGCCUUCCUCGCCCCCUUCCUCACCCCCCUCCUCUUCCUCCUCCUCCUCCUCUUCCUCGUCCUCUGGCCCCGAGGCGUUGGUGGCACUGGUGGCACUGGUGGCACUGAUGGUGCUGCUGCUGCGGCUGGCCAGGCUGCCAUCCCCCGGAGACUCCUGGGGACACUGGGGUGAGGGGGGGGGGUACUGGGAGGGGACUGGGAGCAUUGGGAGGUGCUGGGAGGGGACUGGGAGCACUGGGAGGGGACUGGGGGGCACUGGGGGGGUACUGGGAGGGAACUGGGAGGCACUGGAGAGCACUGGGAGGCAUCGUAGGGAGUCUGUGGGGUGUUAUAGGGGGGCUGUGGGGCACUGUGGGGGGUUAUGGGGUCUUUAUGGGGUCUCUGGGGGUCCCUAUGGGGUCUGUGGGGUCCCUGGGGUCUCACCUGGGCGCUGUUCCCGUGCCCCCCCCAUGCCGGGCGGCGCCGGGGGGGCUCCAGGAGCUGCAGCAGCCGGG